rnacentral:rRNA from 1 species
UACGGGGGGGGCAAGCGUUGUUCGGAAUUACUGGGCGUAAAGGGCUCGUAGGCGGCCAACUAAGUCAGACGUGAAAUCCCCAGGCUCAACCUGGGAACUGCGUCUGAUACUGGAUGGCUUGAGUUUGGGAGAGGGAUGCGGAAUUCCAGGUGUAGCGGUGAAAUGCGUAGAUAUCUGGAGGAACACCGGUGGCGAAGGCGGCAUCCUGGACCGACACUGACACUGAGGAGCGAAAGCCAGGGGAGCAAACGGG